GCAAAGGCGUCAGGAAUUAUCUCCGUAAUUGUCGGCGACACUUCCUCCAUUUGUGCCUCGUCAGUGUGACAAGAUUAUUACUAUUUUUAUUUUUUUACAGCAGAGUCAUGGUGGAUGCUAAGGGAAAAACGGCUUCUUUGUUCUACUGAGGUGUGGGCGUUUUAUUAAUACAUCAACAGGUAGGCGUGUCUUGAAAUCAUUUUGCUUUUAAGUUCAAAGCAUCCUCACUUGAGACGUCAUGAAAUCUGGUGAGAGUUCAGCUUCAGAAAAGUCAGCACUGACCUUGCGGAUGGGCAUGGCGUCUCCCUGCGAGCUGACCAUCUCCACCUCAAUGCGCUCCAUCAAGCCCUCCAGCUGGUCGCGCACGUCCCGCGCUCGCCUCAUGGAGCGGAACUGGAUGAAGUUCUCGUAGCACCACUGCGUCGAGUAGCCGCUCUCCACCCACUAAGGCACACAGACACAAACACAUUUUUACAAACAAAUGCCCAUUGAAAAACUCCAACAUUUUAUAUUUCCAUAUAUACAGUAACAGUUGCAAGAAAAAGUAUGCAAACCCUUUGGAAUGAGCAGGAUUUCUGCAUAGAUUGGUCAUGAAGUGUGAUCUGAUCUUCCUCUAAGUAACAACCACAAAAUUGCUCAGCGGGCAGCCAACAUAAAGACACUGACUUUAGUCUAAAGACACAGAAGAGGCGCUGCAGGAGUGUUUCGAUGUCACCAACAGCUUUUAAAUAAGUAUAAUUUUAUUAGAAAAGAUAUUUGUUAUCGGUAUUAUUAUUGUUUUUAUGUUUGGCCCUUGUGUACAGCACUGUUUCAGUUGCUGUUGUUUUUUUUAAAGUGUUCUAUAAACAAAGUUGAGCUGACAGUUCAGUACACAGUGUCUGCAAUUUUUAAGAUAUUUGGUUUUAUCUGCUUCUUUUACUGUAUAAAGUUUUUAACUAAUUUCAG